rnacentral:rRNA from 1 species
GUGAGUAGUUCAGAGUUUGAUCCUGGCUCAGGAUGAACGCUAGCUACAGGCUUAACACAUGCAAGUCGAGGGGCAGCAUGAACAAAGCUUGCUUUGUUUGAUGGCGACCGGCGCACGGGUGCGUAACACGUAUCCAAUCUGCCCGCGGCUCGGGGAUAGCCCAUCGAAAGAUGGAUUAAUACCCGAUGGCGUGGUUUCUCCGCAUGGAGUUUCCACUAAAGGUUUUCCGGCCGCGGAUGAGGAUGCGUAUGAUUAGGUAGUAGGCGGGGUAACGGCCCACCUAGCCUUCGAUCAUUAGGGGUUCUGAGAGGAAGGUCCCCCACACUGGAACUGAGACACGGUCCAG